GUACACAUUUCAGCAGCAUAUAUACUAAAACUGUAAUGAUACAAGAAAGGUCAGCAUGGCCCCUGAAAAGGAUAACAUGCAAAUUCAGAAAAGAUUUCACAUUUUU